GAUGAAGAACGCAGCGAAAUGCGAUAAGUAAUGUGAAUUGCAGAAUUCAGUGAAUCAUCGAAUCUUUGAACGCACCUUGCGCCCUUUGGCUAUUCCGAAGGUCAUGCCUGUUUGAGUAUCAUGAACACCUCAACUCUCAUGGCUUGCCAUGAUGAGCUUGGACUUUUGGGGGUCUUGCUGGCCUGUGGUCAGCUCCUCUCAAAUGAAUUAGCCUGCCAGUGUUUGGUGGCAUCACAGGUGUGAUAACUAUCUACGCUUGUGGUUUUCCACCAGGUAACCUUCAGUGAUGAAGGUUCGCUGGGGCUCAUAAACGUCUCUCCUCAGUGAGGACAGCUCUUUGAACGUUUGAUCUCAAAUCAGGUAGGACUACCCGCUGAACUUAAGCAUAUCAAUAAGCGGAGGA
rnacentral:misc_RNA from 1 species